AGCAGCCGCGGUAAUUCCAGCUCCAAUAGCGUAUAUUAAAGUUGUUGCAGUUAAAAGCUCGUAGUUGAAUUUCGGAAUCAUCAGGUUGGUCGUGCCUCUGGUAUGUACUGAUUUCGAUGGUUCCUCCUUCUUGAAGAUCCGUAAUGCCAUUAAUUUGGUGUUGCGGGGAACCAGGACUGUUACUUUGAAAAAUUGAGUGUUUAAAGCAGGCAAUCGCUUGAAUACAUUAGCAUGGAAUAAUGAAAUAGGACUUCGAUCCUAUUUUGUUGGUUUCUAGGAUUGACGUAAUGAUUAAUAGGGAUAGUUGGGGGCAUUAGUAUUCAAUUGUCAGAGGUGAAAUUCUUGGAUUUAUUGAAGACUAACUACUGCGAAAGCAUUUGCCAAGGA
rnacentral:rRNA from 1 species